UGGACAAAGGGUUGUGCUAUGAUUUGGCAGCCUUCUACAAGGGUAGAAAAAAAUGUGGGACAUUUGCUACUAUAGUGCCUUAGCCUUGCAGUCCCAAAGUAUCUAGAAACCCAUGGAUAAAAGAGAGCAAAUGAGUAGGGUGGAUGGAUCGGGUUGAUAGGGGGAAAAAAGAAAUUAAGGUUAUUAGAUUAGGGCAGUGGGUUUGCAUAUA
rnacentral:lncRNA from 1 species